UACGUAGGGGGCUAGCGUUGUCCGGAAUCAUUGGGCGUAAAGAGCGUGUAGGCGGUCCGGUAAGUCCGCUGUGAAAGUCGGGGGCUCAACCCUCGAAUGCCGGUGGAUACUGUCGGGCUAGAGUACGGAAGAGGCGAGUGGAAUUCCUGGUGUAGCGGUGAAAUGCGCAGAUAUCAGGAGGAACACCCAUUGCGAAGGCAGCUCGCUGGGACGUUACUGACGCUGAGACGCGAAAGCGUGGGGAGCAAACAGG
rnacentral:rRNA from 1 species